CCUGUAGCUCCGCCUCAGUGGGGUUCUGUCCCAGGGAUCUCAUCACCGUCCCCAACUCCUUGGUGGUGAUAGUCCCGUCUCCAUCCUUGUCAAAGAGGGAGAAGGCCUCCUUGAACUCUGGGGUAAGAGAGGGAAGGAAUCGGAGCAGCACACGUCUGAACUGCAG